UUUUUCUUUUUUUUUCCCCAAGAGGAAACACUCAGCCACCCACCUCAUGGGACUGCUAUGAGAAUGACUAAAUAAUUGUGAAGAGCUUUGUGCCCCUGGGAGUAAGAACACUAUUCUUUUUCCCAUUGGGUUUAACCAACUUCACCCAACUUGAUCAAAUCCGAAUGAAAGUUUCAAAUUAUGGGGAACAAGGCCUCUGAAGUGGCUAAAUUCUCAUAGACACACACAAAAAAGGACACAACUGGAGAAACUGGUUAUUUUUCAAGGCUUAGGCUGGAAUGGUGUGCUUUCCUUUAAAGAAUCAAACUUGACUUAUGGAGCCUAUAAAAGCCUCUUGGGAAAACUGGCCUCAUACUUGUCUACACAGUCCCUGUACAGGGUUCCUGACCUGUGAUAUAUUAUAAUACAAGAAAUUUAGUUCCAACAUAUCCAAGCUGUCCCUUCAGAAGGUGAUCAGAAGAGAGAAAUGAGUUUGGAAAAGAAAAUGAAUAGGUGAACAAAAGCCAACUACUUCCUUGGGAAACACCACCAUCUCUCAGUCAGCAAAGACAGAACCAGAGAGAGAGACUGCAAGUUCAGGAAGAAAGGUUCCAACUACUUUUACUCUCUGUUGCAUCUCCUAAUGUCAUCACUUUCUCAGAGCAGGAUUUAGUCACUACUACAAAACACUGCUCAGGAACUGCAGAGCCACUAGCCUGGCAUGUGGUGACACAUUCCCAACACAAUUCUCUAACAUUCUGAUUUCCUUUCCAAAAAUAAAUUCAAGCAAAAUUAGAACUCUUAAAGAUCA